rnacentral:lncRNA from 1 species
GUUCUUGUUCAUUACAAAUGGGCUGCAGUCAAGAGCCUGUAAUAAAGUAGUUGUUGUUUGUUGCUUAUGCAGCCUGACUGUAUAUAUUUUUUUCUUUCCAAAAUCAUGAUCCUUUAAAUCAGUGCUUGUCGUUUGUUGAUGUGUACCAUACUCUAAAUGGUCAUUAUGCACUCAUACUGCCAUUAUGUCUGGUUGCUAACACAGUCUGUUUUCUAUGUAAUUUGACGUUUCCUUUUUUGUGGUUCAGUGUGUUUAUUGUUCCGUAUUUCUCAUAUAUUUAAUGUGUUUCCCUCGGUUUUAGUUUGUUAGCCGGAUUUGUUUUUUGCUUAAUCGAAUUAUAACUAUUGAACAGCGGUAUACUACUGUUGCCUUUAUUUUGCAACCAGUCUAUAUUUGGCAAAAUAAAAAAUAAAACUUGUGCUUAAAUAUUAAAAUAUAAAGACAUUCAAAUUGAUAAAUGUCAAGUGAAGUAUGGCAUUGAAUACUAGUAGUAGCUUUUCGUUUGUUUUUCAAAUUUGAUCUUAGGUGUAUUUAUUUUUUGUAUAAACUUGUAUUCUGAGGAGUACCGCCGUGAGGUACAUGUAUGGUGUGAAAGAGUACAAUUAGCACACUGUAUUAGCUCAGAUACAUAAAUAAGCAAUUGUCUAUCCCGUUCUUCUACUAAAUCUUAUUGAAGCGAUUCGUAAGUUAGAUAUCAAGUAUGUAAAUGAGUUGACAAAGUGAACUUUUCAGUUUCAAAGCAAAUAUUACCAUUACAAACACGGAAUCACCGACUAGUCGCAUUGAGCAGACGUAACCGGAUGCAGCGGAUUGAUUUGACCGAAUUACGAUAGAGUAAGAUCAAAGAUUAGAGUAAAAUAUAAGAUGCUCAUGAAAUUAUUGCCUACACACGAGUAACCAGGUGCUCCGCAGGGCGCAGCUUUAUACGACCGCAGAGGUCGAACCCUGAACAGUUGGGCAAGUAUGGACAAAACAUUCAAGCGUGAUACAGCUAAUGAAUUUGGAUUGUGGAUCAAAUUUUUGACAUUACAUGGUUUUUUUUACACAAAACAAAUGUCAAGAGUUUUACAAAUCAAUUAAAGAUUUC